GAUGAGCUCAGUUGGUCGAGCAUGAGGCUCUUAACCUCAGGUUCAUGGGUUCAAGCCCCAAAUAUGGCA